ACCGGGAGAGGGGGUGUACUCCCGUAUUUCAACUACACGAAGGCUGGGUAUAAAGGAUGUUUUAGGGGCGGGGGGUUCUGGAAUUGAAUUUUCCAAGUUGAGUAGGCGUCCGCUAGGGGUAAACCUCAAACUUAGAUGCCUUGGGGGAGCCUGAGGUAACCAGGUUGUUGAGUACAAAAGGGGCAUAAAAGUCACCGAGUUGAGAGUCGUGGGUUUAAAUCUUGGGAAUGGGAGUUCGAAUUCACCUGGCUCAAUCAGGAACAAACCUGGUCUA
rnacentral:SRP_RNA from 1 species